rnacentral:rRNA from 1 species
CUGAUAAGAUGCGAGGGCUUCACCGCCUAUCAAGUCUUGACAAACUCCGAAUGCGUGUCAGUUCUAUGUCAGGAGUGAGGGCAUGGGUGCUAAGGUCCAUGUCCUAAAGGAGAACAAUCCGGACCAACAGCUAAGGUCCCGAAAUGAAUACUAAGUUGAACUAACGAAGUCAGAUUGCUAAGACAGCUAGGAUGUUGGCUUGGAAGCAGCCAUUCAUUUAAAGAGUGCGUAACAGCUCACUAGUCGAGGAGUUUGGCGUGGAUAAUAAUCGGGCAUAAGUAUUCUACCGAAGCUUUGGGAUGAGAAAUCAUCGGUAGGGGAGCAUUCCACUCUGCGUCGAAGGUGAAGCGCGAGCUUUGCUGGAGCGUGUGGAAAAGCAAAUGUAGGUAUAAGUAACGAUAAAGGGGGUGGGAAACCCCCUCGCCGAAAGACUAAGGUUUCCUGAUCAACGCUAAUCGGAUCAGGGUAAGUCGGGUCCUAAGGCUCAGCCGAACGGCGAGGCCGAUGGCAGAACCGGUUAAUAUUCCGGUACUACCUGUGGGAGUGACGUGGAGACGGAGUCGUGACAGCGCCGCGGACUGACGGAAUAGUCCGUUGAAGGGUGUAGAUGCUGAUUGUUCCAGGCAAAUCCGGAGCAAGAGUCGAACCUGAUAGUAUGGAGCGUUCUUAGAACAAUCCAAUAGUGCGUGUAAUCAUACUUCCAAGAAAAUCCGCUAAACUUAAUCCUGCAGGUACCCGUACCGCAAACGGACACACGUAGUCGGGAUGAAUAUUCUAAGGCGCUUGAGUGAUUCACGGUUAAGGAACUAGGCAAACUGACCCUGUAACUUCGGGAUAAAGGGUCCUCGCUUUACGGCGAGGCGCAGAGAAUAGGUCCAGGCAACUGUUUAACAAAAACACAGGGCUGUGCAAAAUUGAAAGAUGAAGUAUACAGCCUGACACCUGCCCGGUGCUGGAAGGUUAAGAGGAGAUGUCAUCGCAAGAGAAGCAUUGAAUUGAAGCCCCAGUAAACGGCGGCCGUAACUAUAACGGUCCUAAGGUAGCGAAAUUCCUUGUCGGGUAAGUUCCGACCUGCACGAAUGGUGUAAUGAUCUGGACGCUGUCUCAACCGUGAGCUCAGUGAAAUUGUAGUAUCGGUGAAGAUGCCGAUUACCCGCGAUGGGACGAAAAGACCCCGUGAACCUUUACUAUAGCUUAACAUUGAAUUUGGGUAAUUGAUGUGUAGGAUAGGCCGGAGGCUUCGAAGCAGGUACGCCAGUAUUUGUGGAGCCGCUGUUGAAAUACGGCCCUUUGAUUAUUUGAGUUCUAACCCGUUGUUGCGGGGACACUGUUUGGUGGGUAGUUUGACUGGGGUGGUCGCCUCCAAAAGUGUAACGGAGGCUUCUAAAGGUGCCCUCACGACGAUUGGUAACCGUCGGCAGAGUGUAAUGGCAUAAGGGCGCUUGACUGGGAGACUUACAAGUCGAUCAGGUAGGAAACUAGAGCAUAGUGAUCCGGUGUUUCCGUAUGGAA